rnacentral:rRNA from 2 species
AUGGGAGCUUGGUCCCUGAUGUUAGCGCGGACGGGUGAGAACACGUGGGUAACCUGCCUGUAAGACUGGGAUAACUCCGGGAAACCGGGGCUAAUACCGGAUGGUUGUUUGAACCGCAUGGUUCAGACAUAAAAGGUGGCUUCGGCUACCACUUACAGAUGGACCCGCGGCGCAUUAGCUAGUUGGUGAGGUAACGGSUCACCAAGGSGACGAUGCGUAGCCGACCUGAGAGGGUGAUCGGCCACACUGGGACUGAGACACGGCCCAGACUCCUACGGGAGGCAGCAGUAGGGAAUCUUCCGCAAUGGACGAAAGUCUGACGGAGCAACGCCGCGUGAGUGAUGAAGGUUUUCGGAUCGUAAAGCUCUGUUGUUAGGGAAGAACAAGUGCCGUUCAAAUAGGGCGGCACCUUGACGGUACCUAACCAGAAAGCCACGGCUAACUACGUGCCAGCAGCCGCGGUAAUACGUAGGUGGCAAGCGUUGUCCGGAAUUAUUGGGCGUAAAGGGCUCGCAGGCGGUUUCUUAAGUCUGAUGUGAAAGCCCCCGGCUCAACCGGGGAGGGUCAUUGGAAACUGGGGAACUUGAGUGCAGAAGAGGAGAGUGGAAUUCCACGUGUAGCGGUGAAAUGCGUAGAGAUGUGGAGGAACACCAGU